rnacentral:rRNA from 1 species
AGUGAACGCUGGCGGCAGGCCUAACACAUGCAAGUCGAGCGGCAGCGCAGUAACAACCCUGGCUUCCAGCGGCCGACGGGUGAGGGAUUCAUGAGAAUCUGCCUAUUUGUGGGUGAGAGCGUGGUGAAACUUACGCUCAUACCCCAUAAGUCCUACCGGAGAACGGGGGGAAGCGCAGGACCUCACGCCCAAACAUGAGCGGACGACCGAUUAGCUAGUUGGUGGGGUAAAGGCCCACCAAGGCGACGAUCGGUAGCUGGUCUGAGAGGAUGAUCAGCCACACUGGAACUGAGACACGGCCCAGACUCCUACGGGAGGCAGCAGUGGGGAAUAUUGGACAAUGGGCGCAAGCCUGAUCCAGCCAUGCCGCGUGUGUGAAGAAGGCCUUCGGGUUGUAAAGCCCUUUUGUUGGGAAAGAAAUGCCUGGGGCUAAUACCUCCGGGUGAUGACGGUACCGAAAGAAUAAGCACCGGCUAACUUCGUG